UGCGACAGGCUCAUGCUGAUGGUUGGUUUAUCGUUUUUGACACUCUCACGUUGGCUGACGACCGAUUAGAGGCGUUUUAUGAUAAUCCCAAUGCUUUGCGUGACUAUUUUCGUGAUAUUGGUCGUAUGGUUCUUGCUGCCGAGGGUCGCAAGGCUAGACACUUCCUACAGGUAGCGUUGACCCUAAUUUUGGUCGUCGGGUACGCAAUCGCCGCCAGUUAAAUAGCUUGCAAAAUACGUGGCCUUAUGGUUACAGUAUGCCCAUCGCAGUUCGCUACACGCAGGACGCUUUUUCACGUUCUGGUUGGUUGUGGCCUGUUGAUGCUAAAGGUGAG
rnacentral:rRNA from 1 species